AUUUUUCUUUCUGAUGCAUUCUGCUACCAACUUCUAUUUUCUGGGUGAUUUCAUCAAUACGGGAGUUCCUUCCAAUGGUACAGAUUGUGACCCAUCCAUGACCUCUCAAAAAUUCUCCACAGAAGAUCUGUCCAACACAUCUGAGAUCUUUUUUCUAGUGGUUUUCUCAACAAACUAUAUCAAAUAAGCUAGCACCUCACACAGGAUUGAAGGAGAUUAGCAGGAUGAGAACGACUCUGAAAAGUGGUGCAAAAGAUUCAAUUUGGGAAGUGCGUUGUUGAACUGGAUAACU